GCCUGUAGUCCCAGCUCCUCAGGAGGCUGAGGCAGGAGGAUCACCUGAGAACAGGAGUUCUGGGCUGCAGUGCUCUGUGGCAGUCAAGGGUCUGCACUAAGCUGGACACUGCCUAAGGGUGGGUGAACCAGCCUGGGUCCCACCUUGAGCAGGGCAAAACUCCUACGUUGAUCAGUAGUGGGAUUGCACCUGUGAACAGCCUCUGGCCUGUAGCCUGGGCAAUAUAAUGAGAUGCUAUCUCCA
rnacentral:SRP_RNA from 1 species